GGCUCAGAACGACGCUGGCGGCGCGUUUUAAGCAUGCAAGUCGAGCGGCAAGGGCCUUCGGGCCCCUAGAGCGGCGGACGGGUGAGUAACACGUGGACAAUCUGCCCCCCGGCCCGGGAUAGCCCAGGGAAACCUGGAUUAAUACCGGAUGAGACGGGACCCGCGAUGGCGGGAUCCGGGAAAGGCGCUGCGGCGCCGCCGGGGGAUGAGUCUGCGUCCCAUUAGCUAGACGGCGGGGUAACGGCCCACCGUGGCGACGAUGGGUAGCCGGCCUGAGAGGGUGGACGGCCACAUUGGAACUGAGACACGGUCCAGACUCCUACGGGAGGCAGCAGCUAAGAAUCUUCCGCAAUGGGCGAAAGCCUGACGGAAGCGACGCCGCGUGAACGAAGAAGGCCGUGAGGUUGUAAAGUUCUUUUCGGGAGGGGGAACAACCGUGGCAGGGAAUGGCCGCGGGAUGACGUGAAUCCCGGAAUAAGCCCCGGCUAACUACGUGCCAGCCGCGGC
rnacentral:rRNA from 1 species